UUUUAAUUAUCUUUUGAGUUAAAAGAAAAUCAUUUUAAAAAAACUCUUGUGUGUUCAUUCAAACAAAACCUAACAACAACUUAUGCCCAAUUAUUAAGGGAAAACUCAAAAAUCACCAACUUUCGCCAAAAAAAUUACAAAUUUGAAGAAAUUCGAAGUAGUAGGAUCUGAUUGACACUUUUGAGGUAAACUGUGACAGAUUUAAGACAUGUCGAUAUCCAGAAGGCUGGUUAUCUUUAAUGAGCUCUACUUGAUUUUGGAUUGUGGGAUUCUUUUACACCAGGCAAAAGAAAAAUUUAGGGAUAUUUUGUAUGUUGAUUUGCAAAGAUUUUUAGGACGAUCAUAUUAUUGAUACUUGGAAAAAGACAAAUCAAAAAUGAAUCCUUGCAUGAUGAAAGAAACUCGUGAUAAGAAGUCAAAAGCCUACUAUUAUUGCAAAACUGCCUCAAUAACUGAGAUGCAACAAGUGAUUAUAUUCUUUUGCAAACACAAAUCAUAUCACUUCUCAAAUGUUAUGUUAGAGCACAAUUCCAUCGAUAUCCAUUGAGAUAACACCCGACCUAAUUCUUUUCUACAAUGAUGUUAAAGCUAAUAAUAGAGUCUUGCUACUUUAGCUUAUAAAUGUAUUAAAUUGUGAAUCACAUUUAUCUAUUCCAUAUGAACAUUUGCUUAACGGCAUAGACAAUCAAUAUGUAUACGAAACUGCACGUGAUUUUGUUAGACAAUGUUGGUAUAAUAUCAACUUAUUAAGCAUGGAUGAUUAUUCGGUGAAGAAAUUAUGCAGUAGUAAGCCUUUGACAUA